rnacentral:rRNA from 1 species
AGCGAACGCUGGCGGCAGGCCUAACACAUGCAAGUCGAACGAACCUUUCGGGGUUAGUGGCGGACGGGUGAGUAACACGUGGGAACGUGCCUUUAGGUUCGGAAUAACUCAGGGAAACUUGUGCUAAUACCGAAUGUGCCCUUCGGGGGAAAGAUUUAUCGCCUUUGGAGCGGCCCGCGUCUGAUUAGCUAGUUGGUUGAGGUAAUGGCUCACCAAGGCGACGAUCAGUAGCUGGUCUGAGAGGAUGAUCAGCCACAUUGGGACUGAGACACGGCCCAAACUCCUACGGGAGGCAGCAGUGGGGAAUCUUGCGCAAUGGGCGAAAGCCUGACGCAGCCAUGCCGCGUGAAUGAUGAAGGUCUUAGGAUUGUAAAAUUCUUUCACCGGGGACGAUAAUGACGGUACCCGGAGAAGAAGCCCCGGCUAACUUCGUG